GUAUCAUGGCUCAGGACGAACGCUGGCGGCGUGCCUAAUACAUGCAAGUAGAACGCUGAAGGAGGAGCUUGCUUCUCCGGAUGAGUUGCGAACGGGUGAGUAACGCGUAGGUAACCUGCCUGGUAGCGGGGGAUAACUAUUGGAAACGAUAGCUAAUACCGCAUAAUAGCAGUUGUUGCAUGACAACUGCUUGAAAGGUGCAAUUGCAUCACUACCAGAUGG
rnacentral:rRNA from 1 species